CAGCACCUCAAGUGGUCAGGAUGAUUAUUGGGCCUAAAGCAUCCGUAGCCGGCGCUGUAAGUUUUCGGUUAAAUCUGUACGCUCAACGUACAGGCUGCCGGGAAUACUGCAGCGCUAGGGAGUGGGAGAGGUAGACGGUACUCGGUAGGAAGGGGUAAAAUCCUUUGAUCUAUUGAUGACCACAUGUGGCGAAGGCGGUCUACCAGAACACGUCCGACGGUGAGGGAUGAAAGCUGGGGGAGCAAACCGGAUUAGAUACCCGUGUAGUCC
rnacentral:rRNA from 1 species